rnacentral:rRNA from 1 species
AAUGGGGGAAACCCUGAUGCAGCGAUGCCGCGUGAGUGAAGAAGGCCCUUGGGUUGUAAAACUCUUUCAUCGGGGAAGAAAAUGACUGUACCCGAAUAAGAAGGUCCGGCUAACUUCGUGCCAGCAGCCGCGGUAAUACGAAGGGACCUAGAGUAGUUCGGAAUUACUGGGCUUAAAGAGCUCGUAGGUGGUUAAAAAAGUUGAUGGUGAAAUCCCAAGGCUCAACCUUGGAACUGCCAUCAAAACUUUUUAGCUAGAGUGUGAUAGAGGUAAGUGGAAUUUCUAGUGUAGAGGUGAAAUUCGUAGAUAUUAGAAAGAACACCAAAAGCGAAGGCAACUUACUGGGUCACUACUGACACUGAGGAGCGAAAGCAUGGGUAGCGAAGAGGAUU